UGAACUUUUAUUACCCAAUAGCCCCAUACACGUGUAUGUGGUGUCAUUCUGGAUUUUAACGGUUUUCAAAAAGGUCGAUAAAUCACUGUAGACCAUU